rnacentral:rRNA from 1 species
AUUGAACGCUGGCGGCAGGCCUAACACAUGCAAGUCGAACGAGUGGCGGACGGGUGAGUAAUGUCUGGGAAACUGCCUGAUGGAGGGGGAUAACUACUGGAAACGGUAGCUAAUACCGCAUACCAUCGGAUGUGCCCAGAUGGGAUUAGCUUGUAGGUGAGGUAACGGCUCCCCGAGGCGACGAUCCCUAGCUGGUCUGAGAGGAGUACCAGCCACACUGGAACUGAGACACGGUCCAGACUCCUACGGGAGGCAGCAGUGGGGAAUAUUGCACAAUGGGCGCAAUCCGGAUGCAGCCAUGCCGCGGGUAUGAAGAAGGCCUUCGGGUUGUAAAGUACUGUCAGCGGGGAGGCGUUACCCGCAGAAGAAGCACCGGCUAACUCCGUGCCAGCAGCCGCGGUAAUAC